rnacentral:lncRNA from 7 species
GGGACAUGUAGUUAGGAUAAUAUGGUUAACAGGCUGGUGGCAUAAGAUAAGUGUAUUAUGGCAACAUCUAGGAUGGGAGGGAUGGUCACCAUGAAUAUGCUGGUAAGUUAUUUGUUCAUGGGUGGUUUGGUUUGAUGUAUUAAUUUAAGUUAAAACAUGGCCCGCAGGGUCUAAUCCAUUUCACUAGUAUUAACUAGUCCGUUAAGUAACUCACUUUAGAUUAGACCAUAUUAGAUUGGAUGGGAUCUAGAUUAGAUUGGUAUGACUAGAUUAGACUAGAUAAUAUCUAAUUACUUUGCAUUAGAUCAUGGUUGUUUAAACUAGGGUGGAUAAGUAUGCUUAUUAGGAUAAGAUGGAUCCAUAAAGAUAAGAUAGAAUCUUUUGAGAUCAGUUAGACCUAUUAGGAUGGGAUAAAAUCUUUUCCAGAUAAGAUGAGUCUAUUGAGAUAAGAGAGUAUCUUUUAAGAUGAGAUGGAUCUAUUAGACUUGAUAUAUUUUUGUGGGGGAUAUUCUAAGUUGGCUAGUUAUUUUAUCAACCUUUUUUUUUGCUAUAUGCAUAUACAGAUGUAAUUGUGGACAUUACUCCACAACUCAUUACACUCAAUCAAAGAUCUAAAUCAGACAAGUAUCAUAAGAACAAACAUUCAAGUUCAGAGAU